AAGACUACACUUUCAGGGAUCAUUUCUAUAGUUUGUUACUACAGAAGUUUCUUUGAAUGUGCAGGGCACCGAAAACCAUGAGGAGGAGGCAUAGUGUUCUCUCCUGAGAGUGAAGCAGGCACUUGGUGUUGCUUUGCUGCAACUAUCAUUUGCCACUGAUGAUCGUUCUUCUCUUCCUUUAGAAGAGUUAGAGGGCAAGAACACAGUCUGAUGGC